rnacentral:siRNA from 1 species
ACCGUGAACUCGUGAAAUGGCCG